CUCCUGGGAUGCUGAAUUCCACAGAAGUCUGGCCACUCUGGCGUCACUGUCAAAAAUUGGCCUAUAGCCAGCCCAAGGCAGGAACUCAUGGUCGGCCUGAGCGGCCGGAUUGCUCUCAGGAAGCUGGUUGACUCAAACAGAGACAAAGGACUGCAACCAAGACAAACUGCUCUGUAGGGAGACACCGUAACCACGCCUCUUAAGGGCUGACUACAGGUAUGCCUGACCAUGCCUGUCAGGACAUGGUCAAGUUUGUAUAGGUUUGCACUGCAUUGAUGAAUUCACACGAGAUCGAAACUCUCCAGGAAUAUCCCAAGUUAUAGAGCCCCACAGUAGUAUCUUCUAUGGAUUGUACAGUCCAGAAGCUUUGCUAAGAUCUUGAGAUGAAAUGACUGUGCCUUGCCCUGAGGAACUCCAUUUCAUGAGUAGCUUUUGGCUCCAUUUUGAAGAUGGAGGAAGCCUGUGCCUUUGGAUGCAUACACACACAACAACAUCUGUCCAGAACCAUCUAUUUAGCAUAGCCUGACAAAGGACUUGUUCCUGGAGUAAAAGGGGUACCACCUUAUAAAUUUAUCAGGGUCUAUUAAAUUACACCAGGGAAAUUGGGCCUAAGAACUUAUUAGACACACCAGACAAGAAAGGGUUAACUCUCUCACUAGGCCCAGAGGUAGAUACCCAGAACUGCAAUGGGAAUAUUCCCACUAACCAGUCACCUGAACAGAGUAUGUGCACUAAGGACUGGCAGACAGAGAACUAUCCUUGGGCUUCAGAUCAGUCUCCACAUUCAACUUCCUUCUGCCCACAAGACUGAGACCUGCCAUUCAUCCCUCUUUUUAUUCCUUCCUCUAGACCUAGCCUGCCCUUUAGCCCCUGCAGUCAAACUCAACUCCACACUCUACUCUCCAACCUACAGCUGACACCUGUAGCUGAAGUGACAGCUGCUUCUUCAGCUUCUUCCCUACAGCUAGGCUUGGGUUCCUCGUUCCAUCGAUAUAGACUUUAUUUACAUUCCUAUCAGCCUCCUUCUGAAAAGCUCUUGAUUUUUAACCUGUUGUGGUAACCCUUUAAUCUACAUAUACACAUAGAGAAAUACUGUGGUGUGUGAUGUACAAUCUUAGAGUUAGUAUUUGUAAUUAAGGUUGCAACGAAAGAGCUUGUGUGGCCUUAGCUAGGUAACCAUGAAAAGAUGGGAAAACCUGGUAGAUGGUCUCCAUUAAAAGCAUUGCAACUUGUGAA